GCGUGUUGGAGCGUUAUAUGUAACUUGUCAAUUAUUCAAGAUUUACUUUAAGCUUGGCACAGUUCACCUUUGUCGUAGCGUGAUAAGAAGCAUUGAAACUGCACGUAUAUUUGAUUUUGAGGAAUUUCCCAAAAGAGACAAGGUACGUAAUUCAAAAUAGUUGUGUAAAACUCAAGUCAAUAACUUUACCAUGCACUGACAACCUAUGAUUGGAUGAACUUGUAAAAUUUUAUACACUUAGUGGAUUUUGAUUAAAUUCAAUUUAUUAUACACAUAUUUUCUGGAUUAUCUAUCUUUGUGAUGUA